UCGAUUUGGAGUUUGUUGCCUAGAGUGAUGGGCUCCGAAGCUAACGCGAUAAAUCGACCGCCUGGGGAGUACGGCCGCAAGGUUAAAACUCAAAUGAAUUGACGGGGGCCCGCACAAGCGGUGGAGCAUGUGGUUUAAUUCGAUGCAACGCGAAGAACCUUACCUGGUCUUGACAUCCACAGAAUCUUUCAGAGAUGAGGGAGUGCCUUCGGGAACUGUGAGACAGGUGCUGCAUGGCUGUCGUCAGCUCGUGUUGUGAAAUGUUGGGUUAAGUCCCGCAACGAGCGCAACCCUUAUCCUUUGUUGCCAGCGAUUAGGUCGGGAACUCAAAGGAGACUGCCGUUGAUAAAACGGAGGAAGGUGGGGACGACGUCAAGUCAUCAUGGCCCUUACGACCAGGGCUACACACGUGCUACAAUGGCGUAUACAAAGGGAAGCGAAGGUGCGAGCUGGAGCGGACCUCCUAAAGUACGUCUAAGUCCGGAUUGGAGUCUGCAACUCGACUCCAUGAAGUCGGAAUCGCUAGUAAUCGUGAAUCAGAAUGUCACGGUGAAUACGUUCCCGGGCUU
rnacentral:rRNA from 1 species